AUUGAACGCUGGCGGAAUGCUUUACACAUGCAAGUCGAACGGCAGCACGGACUUCGGUCUGGUGGCGAGUGGCGAGCGGGUGAGUAAUGUAUCGGAACGUGCCCAGUCGUGGGGGAUAACGUAGUGAAAAUUACGCUAAUACCGCAUACGAUCUAUGGAUGAAAGCGGGGGAUCGCAAGACCUCGCGCGAUUGGAGCGGCCGAUAUCAGAUUAGGUAGUUGGUGGGGUAAAGGCCCACCAAGCCAACGAUCUGUAGCUGGUCUGAGAGGACGACCAGCCAGACUGGAACUGAGACACGGUCCAGACUCCUACGGGAGGCAGCAGUGGGGAAUUUUGGACAAUGGGCGAAAGCCUGAUCCAGCCAUUCCGCGUGCAGGAUGAAGGCCCUCGGGUUGUAAACUGCUUUUGUACAGAACGAAAAGGUUUCUACUAAUACUAGGAGCUCAUGACGGUACUGUAAGAAUAAGCACCGGCUAACUGCGUGCCAGCAGCCGCAGUAA
rnacentral:rRNA from 1 species